rnacentral:rRNA from 1 species
AGAGUUUGAUCCUGGCUCAGAUUGAACGCUGGCGGCAUGCUUUACACAUGCAAGUCGAACGGCAGCAUAGAGAGCUUGCUCUCUGAUGGCGAGUGGCGAACGGGUGAGUAAUACAUCGGAACGUGUCCGUUUGUGGGGGACAACCACCCGAAAGGGUGGCUAAUACCGCAUAAGACCUGAGGGUGAAAGCCGGGGACCGCAAGGCCUGGCGCGAACGGAGCGGCCGAUGACUGAUUAGCUGGUUGGCGGGGUAAAGGCCCACCAAGGCGACGAUCAGUAGCUGGUCUGAGAGGACGACCAGCCACACUGGAACUGAGACACGGUCCAGACUCCUACGGGAGGCAGCAGUGGGGAAUUUUGGACAAUGGGGGCAACCCUGAUCCAGCCAUGCCGCGUGCAGGAUGAAGGUCUUCGGAUUGUAAACUGCUUUUGUCAGGGACGAAAAGGGAUGCGAUAACACCGCAUUCCGCUGACGGUACCUGAAGAAUAAGCACCGGCUAACUACGUGCCAGCAGCCGCGGUAAUACGUAGGGUGCGAGCGUUAAUCGGAAUUACUGGGCGUAAAGCGUGCGCAGGCGGUUGGGUAAGACAGAUGUGAAAUCCCCGGGCUUAACCUGGGAACUGCAUUUGUGACUGUCCGACUGGAGUAUGUCAGAGGGGGGUGGAAUUCCAAGUGUAGCAGUGAAAUGCGUAGAUAUUUGGAAGAACACCGAUGGCGAAGGCAGCCCCCUGGGGCAAAACUGACGCUCAUGCACGAAAGCGUGGGGAGCAAACAGGAUUAGAUACCCUGGUAGUCCACGCCCUAAACGAUGUCUACUAGUUGUUGGGGACGAUAGUCCUUGGUAACGCAGCUAACGCGUGAAGUAGACCGCCUGGGGAGUACGGUCGCAAGAUUAAAACUCAAAGGAAUUGACGGGGACCCGCACAAGCGGUGGA